GAUGAACGCUGGCGGCGUGCCUAAUACAUGCAAGUCGAGCGAACAGAUGAGGAGCUUGCUCCUCUGACGUUAGCGGCGGACGGGUGAGUAACACGUGGAUAACCUACCUAUAAGACUGGGAUAACUUCGGGAAACCGGAGCUAAUACCGGAUAAUAUAUUUAACCGCAUGGUUCAAUAGUGAAAGACGGUUUUGCUGUCACUUAUAGAUGGAUCCGCGCCGCAUUAGCUAGUUGGUAAGGUAACGGCUUACCAACGCAACGAUGGGUAGCCGACCUGAGAGGGUGGUCGGCCACACGGGCACUGAGACACGGUCCAGACUCCUACGGGAGGCAGCAGUAGGGAAUCUUCCGCAAUGGGCGAAAGCGUGACGGAGCAACGCGGCGUGAGUGAUGAAGGUCUUCGGAUCGUAAAACUCUGUUAUUAGGGAAGAACAAAUGUGUAAGUAACUAUGCACGUCUUGACGGUACCUAAUCAGAAAGCCACGGCUAACUACGUG
rnacentral:rRNA from 1 species